AAAGGAAACAAGGUUUGCAAGGAACACCAAAGGUUGGCUUCCUCCACUCCAAGGCAGGAUCAACUCAAUCUAAGCUGCUCCCUGGAAUGCUUGGCAUCUCUGCCUCUUCCUCUUUGUCUAGGAGCCUUACAGGGGCAGACACAACCCUGGCGAUGAAUCCCUGCAGUGAACCCACCCCACUGAGGUGCAGGAGAUGCUGACACGUCCGGAGUUCAUCACUCAUUCUCCCAGCACAGGGUGACAGAUGCCACUCACCUAUCACAGCAGAGCCAAGACACUAGAUGCUAUUGGAUAUUUUUAAGGAAACAGAUCUACUCUACUAGAUCAGAGAAAAGGUCCUCAUGUCAGCAGUCUCCAACAGAAGAUGCUUAGGGCAAAUGUACAUAGUAAAGGUUAUAUUUUCCCUGAAUAUCCUCCUAAACUCCAGACAUUUUCCAUUCAGAGGAUUGCUGAGCUGAAGUAUGUAUGUACGCAGUCAGUAAACUUCACUGUUUCCUUACCCAUUUGGUAUGCUGUACAUGUGAAAAAAGGAAGGAAAGCAAGUUGUCUGAUAGCCACGUGUUUAUCAAAAAUCUAAUUCUAAGUAAUAUGGAGCCUACAUUCAUCACCUCAGCAAGAUCAGAUGGGAUGGAAGCAAGAAUUUAAGGAGAAGGAUGAAAACAGAGAUUGACAGCUUGCCUCAUCUCUCCCACCAAGUAUACAAGUAUUACUUUAAUAUUGGUGAUAUGAAUGUACUAUGUUUGGCAGUAUUGUGACAUUAUUUGAUAACAGUAUCAAGAAAUAUUCUGAUAUUAUCCUUAUUCUUCAUUAAAAAUGAAAGAUUUUCAUUUUAAAGGAUUUUUGAAUGCCUAAUCAAUCUUCCCAAAAACAUGAGACUGACUGAAAGUUAAGAUGGAAUAAAAUCUUCAGUUGUUG
rnacentral:lncRNA from 7 species